UACGUAGGGUGCGAGCGUUAAUCGGAAUUACUGGGCGUAAAGCGUGCGCAGGCGGUUCGUUAAGUCAGAUGUGAAAUCCCCGGGCUCAACCUGGGAACUGCAUUUGUGACUGCACAGCUGGAGUGCGGCAGAGGGGGAUGGAAUUCCGCGUGUAGCAGUGAAAUGCGUAGAUAUGCGGAGGAACACCGAUGGCGAAGGCAAUCCCCUGGGCCUGCACUGACGCUCAUGCACGAAAGCGUGGGGAGCAAACAGG
rnacentral:rRNA from 1 species